AUAAAACAAAAAAUAAAUUUUUCGUGUUCCCCAAGUCCAACUCCCGCAUACCAGCAGCAACAAGUCCUUACCGAUUGUGGUCCGACGGACGGACAUAUUGUCAGGACAAACCGGAAGAAGAGCACCAGCGAUGUUCGUAACAGAAACAGGAGCUGGAGGAGCAAGGUCAAGCAGGAAGGCGCAAUGUCCCGAAGUCUUUAGGAUACAGCAGUGAGUAGCGGCUAAGCCAGCGUCCCGCCCGUGUUUCCGGAAUAAUACUUUCUGGGGGAGGAACUUAUGUCGAAGAAAUGAAUAAAAUGAACAUAUUUAAAAUUUAAAAA